UGCGUCUUAAGCAUGCAAGUCAAACGGGAUGUAGCAAUACAUUCAGUGGCGAACGGGUGAGUAACGCGUGGAUGAUCUACCUAUGAGAUGGGGAUAACUAUUAGAAAUAGUAGCUAAUACCGAAUAAGGUCAAUUAAUUUGUUAAUUGAUGAAAGGAAGCCUUUAAAGCUUCGCUUGUAGAUGAGUCUGCGUCUUAUUAGCUAGUUGGUAGGGUAAAUGCCUACCAAGGCAAUGAUAAGUAACCGGCCUGAGAGGGUGAACGGUCACACUGGAACUGAGAUACGGUCCAGACUCCUACGGGAGGCAGCAGCUAAGAAUCUUCCGCAAUGGGCGAAAGCCUGACGGAGCGACACUGCGUGAAUGAAGAAGGUCGAAAGAUUGUAAAAUUCUUUUAUAAAUGAGGAAUAAGCUUUGUAGGAAAUGACAAAG
rnacentral:rRNA from 1 species